CCCACUCCAGCCUUUUCUCCUGAGCUUCUGCCUUGCCGUCCUUCGCGGGGGGGGGGGGGGUCUGGAAGAUGCCGCCUUUGUUUGUUCUGAACUAAGGAUUCCUUAUGGGUUUUUUGGGGGGAUGGGGGGCACUGGGUUAGACUUUCUAUCUCUUGAGGUGUUCUAGAUUUCAGGCAAACUCAGAAAGGGUCUCAGCGUUUCCUGACCUGGGGGAGACAGAAAGAGCGGCAGUGAAAUUGCUUCGAGUCAGAAGCAAAAAGGGCGUUGGGAAUCCUGGGGCCUCGGAGCUGGGUUGGGGGGGGGGUCUGUCUGCCUGUAUGGAAGCCUCUUCAGGCUCUGGGUCCACCGUAAGCCUUGCCUUCCACCUCGGGGCUACCUUGGGGGGCUGGAGAAGGGACUUGUAAGGGGAAAGGAAGGGAGCUGUCUGCCUAAGAGCCCACUCCACUAGCAACAGCUUGUUCCGACUCUUCCUUGAAGCUUUCAAGAAUCAAGAAGCUACCCUUCUCCCUCUGAGGUCUCUUGAGAAGGUUCUAACCCACAGGUGGGACCCCCAAGCCCUGAUCUGCCCGUGGGCUCCCUGUGGGGCAUGCCAGAACAAGGUAGGGGUCAGAAAAAGCUGACACAAAGCUAAUUUGGGGAAAACGCUUUCUGAAGGAUUGAGGCUCCAGGGGAAAGGCCGCUGCUUCACUCCCUUCCGGGCCCGUGCAAGCGGAGAGCUCCCAGUCAUGCAGCAUCGGCAGGUUGGCCUGGGACCGUUUCCUCUGCAUCUUCCCUGAACUCUGCUCCUGGUGUGACGGGAAGGGAGGAAGGAGGGCCCCCCAUGGCUCAGUCCUCAGGAGCACUUUCUCCCCGAGAAUCCCUGUGGAUCACGUGGAGAUCAAGGCAGCUUGGGCAAAGUGGGGCCUCACUUCUCAGACCAGCCCCUUUCCUUUGGCCCUCCCCGAGAGAGACCGGCAUUCCUGCCCCGUGGGGCCGCCAUCUUGCACAGCUUUUUCUCAAGCCCCGCGUGCAGCGAAUAGCUAAGUCUGGGCACCUGGCCAUACAGCCGUACCUCUCGCCCUGUAGGUUCUCCUGCCUGACUUACAUCAAGUGUGAGGCUUACCCGAUGCUUAAGAUCCCAGCUGCUGUUCGGGAGCAUUACAUUGGCGCUACAGCGAAAGCUUCACAAGUGAAGUAAGGAAGUUUGAUGACUGACUUAAAAAAAAAAAAAAAAAAAAAAACCUUUAGGUAGAGUGAGUUCAUCUUCAGCAUCAUCGGACCCCUUUUCUCCUGUCCUCCUGCCUUUCUCCCUUUCUCUACCUGUCCUCCAUAGCUAAGCCUUCUAUAAUAUUGACAUUCUUUGAAUCGGAUCCUUGCAAGGACGCGCAGUGGUGACUUGUGUUGUAGAUAAUGGGCGUGGUGUAACAUCACAGCCUCCACUUGGGUCUCAUCCAGAAUUUGCCCACCCUGCUGGGUUUAUAGGACUUAACUACUCUGGGUGUUCAUCCAGCUGCUCGUUUCUACCUGCUAGGCGGGUAUGCCUAGUGAGCACCUAUCACGUCUUCCUUGUCUAUCUCCCAGCAACGAACACACACUUUCCUCCAACUGUGCCCCUUAAAGGGGGCUUAUGGCUGCCUUUGCUGCAGUGCCAGAAUGUGAGAUGUAAGAAGGGGGGUGGUCAGGGGAAAAGCCCUUAGCACGAGCUUUGAAGGGUAUGUGGGGCUGAGCUGGGCCCACAAGGCCUGGCUGGGUUGGGGUUUAGGAGAAGGAAGGCGUGCCUCUCCCACCAGGGCUGCAGCAGAGGCUGGACGGCUGGGAGGCGCUCAUGUGUGGUGGGCCUCUGGGCUUCUGCUGAGGUUCUCAACCUCAUCAAAUGUGAGUGAGUCUCCUAAAGGAAGUCCUAGCCCUUAUUUUACCAGAGACAAAGCUGAGGCAAAGGGCCUCUAACUUUGGAAACCAAGACUGACUCGGGUGCUGAAACAGAUGUGAGGACAGAUGUGUGGCCUGGGGUCCCUUCGACCAUCACCUACAUCCUCUGAUCAAUGAUCCACAUGGGUGUGAACUGGGGGUUCACAGGACCCAUUGGGUGUCAGCCCCACUACUUGUGUUUAUCGGUGGUAGCAUAGCAAGUCACUUCACAGCUCUAGGAUGAUUCUUUCCUGAUCAGACUGCUGGUAACAACAGCUCCCACGUGAUGAGCGAUUAGUAUGUACUAAGUACUGACCUGCCUCUGAAUUAACAAGUUUAUCAUGAAGUUGAAGCUGAAACUGGGCUCUGUAGUCCAAAUUUAGUCUUGUUUGUCUUAGAAACUUAAUCUCCACAAAACCUAGAUGUGCCCCAUUGGGAUGGCAUUCUCAGUGGAUCAUUAUUACCCCAUUACUAGGGACUGUCAUCAUCCUCUUUAAAUGAGAAAUACUUUGGGGGAUGAAACCACUUGCCCAGGGUCCCAUAACCUACAACUGCAAAGUCUGAACUUAGUUUAGCCCAGCUUGUUGGAGUCAUCAGAACUAUCUCCUUGGCGUCCUUCUGAAUUCCACACAUCUGUUAAUACCUGGGUAGAUGGUAGCUGUGACUACCAACAUCUUGAUCUGAGCAUUCAUCAUGCCUCGACCAUCUUCAUACGUGAAACAAGGAGUGAUUUCUCAUGAGUCACUCAUUGUGCCCCAAGAGAUUCUGCUGUGGGAAUCGGGCUGUUUCUCCUACACACCCCUGCCUACUCAGUUACCCCCUUCUCCUCCCAACCCCAGUGCCCCCUCUUCCUCCCCUAAGGAACCUUUGACUUCAGUCCAACGUCUUGUUUCACCCAGUUCCCAUGGCUGUGACCUUGUGCCCAACACCUUAUAACUAGUACAACUCCAGAAUGUUGGGUUCCCAUCAACUAAUGGCUUUGAUUGCCCUCCGUGGCCUUAUGUAAACAGCCAGAUGUAUCAGGUGGGCCAGCUUUGUGACACUGUCACAGCCCUGAAGGCUUUUGCCUAUCGCUGUGUGGCAAUUGGGGGCUCUGGGGAGAGAAUCUCAGUCAUGGAUGAAGGAAACUUGUAGGAAGUUGGAGCGUGGGUGGCUUAGUAAUCAGAACUUGCAUUGGCAUCAUGGUGGUCGUCCAGGAGAGACUGAAUACUUCCUUGAAGUCCCUACUAGACCCAAGAUUGGGCUAGAGGGACAGUGGACCUGUCCUAGGGGCUGAUUUCUAAACCCAACUGUUCUUGCUCUAACUUAGGUCUUAAAAGUGCUUUGAUCUAAGCAAGUCUCAGAGAUCCAAGCCAAUAAAAAAUGCAUCUAGGGGCUUCUAUCAGGAAAAGUGUCUGCUCUGACACAUGCUGUCUGCCUAGGUUGUAGUUUCUUUUGAAAGACUCCAGAAGGAUCCAUCCCUCGGCUAUAAGGCUGUCACAUGCCUGAGGCUUUCUAGUCCUCCUGGGAUAAAGCACUGAAAACAAGCUUGGAGAACUUCAUGCCCCAGUACAGUAAUGCUCCAACCAUCUGAUAUAACUCAUGCCCUGUGCCUGAAUUCAGUAUGGCGCUCACUGGCAACUUGGGGUUCAGGAGUCAGGGAAGGCCUGUGAGAAGUGACAUCUGAGCACGUGCCUGAACUAACGGAGUCUGUACAAAAAUUGCACACACCCCAAGUGGAAGGAACAGCCAGUGUAAAUGUUCUGAGGUAGGAAUGGGUUUGAGACAGAAAGAAUGCGGCUGAAAUACAAAAUGAGCAGGUGGGGUAGUGGCAGUGGUUAGAUGGGGACACAGAUCGACAGGAGCUAGAUUCUGUGGGACCUUGUUAAUGAUGAAAUGGAGAUUUAUCCCAAGGAGGAUGCGAAGGCAUCAGCAAUCGAAGCUUGUGAGUGUUUGUGUUAAUCACUGGCAGCUGUCUGAAACGGAUUACCAGCAGCAAGAAGUAGGGGUUAUCAGUUAGGAAGAUUCCGGUUAUCCAGGUAAGAGAUGGGAGGAACCUGGUUAAAGUGGUGGCAUUGAGGAUGGCAGGAUGAAAAUGGAGAUUGAGAACUGGUAAUAGGAUUUGCUAAAGGACUGGAUGUUGGGUAUGAAGGGGAGAAAGCAGUCAAGGCUGUAACUUCCAGUCGUGUGGGCUAAGCACAUGGUAGCAGCAUUAACUGAGAUGGGGAGGCCCAGGGUAGGACAGCCCAUAUGUGGUAUUGAGAGCAGGCUGUGGGAAGUUUGAGAUGCUACUAUGGCUGAGACCAUGACUGUUCUCAUCUAACUAGUUCUGAUACAAGUCGGGGACAUCAAGAAGUGACGUCUCCUGCAGGAGACAGGAGAAACUGGGCACUAAGGUCCCAAAGGGAGCAUGAGGUUCCAAUAGCGUAGUGGUCCACGGGAGUGAGCAACAGCAUCACCAGCAAAAAGUUGAAAUAAGUGAUGCCAACAACCAGGACGUGACCCCCGAGUCCUGGAGGGUCCCAUGAACAGACUUGUAAUGGCACAACUGAACCCAAAUGGCCACUAAGCAUGUAGUCGAGGCUACAGUUCAACUCACGGAAGCAAAUCAAAGAUGCAUCAAACUGAUUCUAAGACACACGACCGAUCGAGCCCUUAGAAGGAAAGACCUAGGAGGCUUUCUACGUUUCCCCUACUUUUCUCUACUUUCCAAACCAUCUUUUAUGAGCACGGAUUACUUUUUAUAACAUUCUAAAAAUGAGAUCAACCCUUACCCUGGGCAGAAACGUCUAAGAAGCCAUGCUGAUCAUGGAAAGCGUGAUCCAGACUCACUUGCCUCUGGGUGUGUGAGUCAUUUGUGUUGUAAAAAUAAUGGCUUUUCCAAAACUCAACUUCUGAAGGCGCCUGAGCUAGUUAAACUAACUAGUUUCAACUGCUUUUGGACACUUCUAGCUGUUCCUGCGAAACAGUCCCUGGAAACUUCAAGUCUCUCUCAUAGUUAAAGAUGAGUGCUGGAAGGGACCUUGGACCGCUUAGCCAGACUGCCCCUUUGUAUAGAUGAGGAACGCAGGCCUAUCUGUGGAAAAACUUGUUUCAGGUCUGAGCUAAGCUUGCAGCCCAGAUCCUGACUUGGCUUAGCACUGGCUGCUCUGCUCUUCAGGUCCUCCCUACUCCCUCCCCUUUGUUGAAUCUGCUCUCGACCUAUUGCCUGCAAGGAGGGCCCUGAUGAAACAUCUGCAUCAAUUGAUUCAUUGAUGCCUUGAGUAACUCUGCUCCCAUUGGAGAUAAAUAAUGCAUGCCCCGACGCGGAGUUCUGGCAUGGCAUUGACUGAGAACCAGGGGGAGGAUGGGGCAACUGUCAGCACAAUGUGAAGUGUGGUCUAGGAAUUGACUCUCCAGUAGACGGACAGAAGCACGUGCACCUGGGUUUCAGCAAAGGCAACAUGCGGGACCAGUCAAGACGAAUCCAACUUUCUUUGUGAGCCUCAACUUCCGGCCCUUCAUCUGAGUCUUGCUCUAGCAUCUCACUGUGGAUGUCGAUAAAGUGGCACCUUCCUUCAUCUCCUUUCAGAACUUAUUGAGCACAUGUCAUAUGCUGGUUGCUGGCAAAGAGUCUGGCCUGAUCUAAUUGGGAUAAGGCAUGCUUAGAUGGAUAAACAGAUUUCAGGCAACAAUGGAUCUCCUCUUUGGGGAGACCUUUCUAUAUAGUCUACUGUGGGAUCUCUCAUUACACUUUCUCUUAAGUCCCAGGAAGUCAUAAGUUUGGAAACUUCUAAGCAGAAGGGCCUGUGCACAGACCUGGGGGCCAGAGAGCCAAGCCUGAUGCAAGGGAUGGCACAUGACAUGAGCUGGAGAGGAGGGCAGGGGGUCGGACAGCUCCCCUUCCUGAAUCACACUGGAAUAGACUUGAGGGUGGAUUACGCGUUGUGGUUUUGUCUUUCCAAGUGGGCUGAGGGCUGGAAGGUGGCCCCUUGGGUUUAUUCUUCCCAGCAGUUAGCACAGGAACACACUGGAAGCAAGGAGGGCAGGCCUAAAAUCCUGGUGUUUCUGGGGUGGAGGGGAGAGAAACUCAGAGGUAGUUGAAUCUUCAGGUGAGGCAAGAGCAUGCAUCAGCUUCACUGUGGGAUGGAAGGAAUGCUCCUGGUUAACAUGAACUCCUGAGGUCAAGUGCAUUCACUGUACUAGUUUGGGUUAAACGUCUGCAUUAGACAUCUUUAGCAGGCUCAGCUGGACUUAGAGUUUUUAGGCUAAUGUUAGCCCUAGAAUAUCAAUCAGGAGGCCUUGGCUUGCUGGAGACUUCUACGCAGGUGGUUUUGGCUGGCCUUUUCUCGAAGGUAUUUCUUGCCCUAAUGUUGGGCUUGCGAGGUCUACUUGUCUUGCCUGCUCACAAGAGGAACUUCCAAGUCUAAGAGGCAGCAAGGAUGAGAUGUAAGGUGAAGCUUAACACAUCAGAUGAAUUCGUCUGAAGGUCUUUCCCCAUCCUCAGAUCACACUGUUUCCUAAAAGCAAACCAGCCUAAAGGUCCUGACGUAUAGUAGGUACUCAAACAUAGAUCCCCAAAUAUUGGGUGGUUAUUCUGGGUUGCCCUAUGAAACAGUCCUCUUCUCAGGAGACCAGACUUAGACAGAGGCUCAGAUUUGUGUUUAAUGGAACUAGCAUGGGGUGGGGUGAGUAUGGCUCCGACUGGGGAGAUGUCAACUAUAAAUGUUUCUCCCGAGAGGCCCACCACACAGUCCGAGUGACUUAGGUCUCAAUUAACAGACGGGUGACGAGAGAAAUGGAUAUUAUGCUCCGAUGUUGGCUAACUGAGCCACCCUAACCUCAGCUGAGUGAACUGACCCACCUCCAGCUCUGGCCUAGUGAGCCUCGUCAAGCAUUAUCUGAAGCCCCGGGGGGCUUGACUGUCUCCAGUAGAGAAUGGUGGAGACUGAGGCGUAGAUACCAUCCCCAGGGCCUUACUUGAAAGGGGACGCCCCAAAUCCCCGCAGCCACCUGUGUGGUUCUCUUGUUAGGCUUGUGUGUCUGUGCUGCUCUACAGCCCUUAUGACAACUGUGGCUGCACAUGGAGCCUGUACCCGUGCUCUAUUGCUGGGUAGCACAAAUCUGGCAGCUUAAAAUAGACUUAGUAGCUUAUAGUUCCGCAGGUACUGACCAGGCACAGCGUGGCUGGGUUCUCUGCUCAGAUACCCUAAGGGUGAAGUCAAAGUACCUACUGGGCUGUGUUCUCAUGUGGAGUCAAGGGCGACUCAGCCUCCAGGCUCAUUCUUGUUAGUCGGUUCCUUGCAGCAUAAGGCUGUCGUCUCCAUGCUGGCUGUCAGCUGGCGGCCACUCAGCUCCGAGAGGCCUCUUGCAUCCCUUGCCGUGUGGCCCCCUCCAUCUGCAAGCUGGCGAUAGUGUUGUGAAUCUUUCUUGUGCUUUGAGUUUCUGACUGCUUUUGACUUCUAGACUCAAACCUGACGGGCUCAAGUAGGGUGAGGCCCACCCAGGAUAAUCGUCCUCUUGCCACAUAAUGUAACAAUCCCAGGAGUGAGAUCUCAGCACGUGUUCCACCCACACUCAAGGGGCAUGAGCAUAUGGGGGGAAUCUUGGGGGCCGUCUUGGGGGACAGCCUAUCACCCCUGUGGCUUCUGAUCCUUUGCUAGACUCGAGGACAGGAAUCUUAUCUCCCUCACUGUACUCGGCACCUAUGACAGACUAGAGCAUAGAUGUCGGAGCUCCUGGGACCUGAGUCUUGAAUACUCAGGAACUAAGAACCUUCUGUGGGAUUUAAUCGUGUCUUUCCGCAGAUGCAGCCUUCAAGCCAAGACAGGAAAGGAACACUAACGACACAUCCCAACUUGAUCUUAUUUAAAAACUGUAUCCUCCCGGCUUGCUAUGACAUCCAAAGCACUUGUAGAAGUCCCACUUAGGAAACGGGCACUGCUAUUACUGUCAUUAUCCCCAACCGGAACUACGAGCAAUGAUGGACCCAACCUCUUACACGUGUCCACUUGCAGAAUGUGGGCCUGAGAGCAAUUCAACUUAAACGCGCUUGUGAGGGAGUGAGCAAAGGGUUUUCCUUUAGUACUUUUCUUGUGACAAUCCCUAUGUUGGGUGGGUGCUGCCCCCUUUGGGUCAGAGGGAGUAGUCGUGCUAGCCUUGUGUUCACUGGCAUAGUCAAGUGUCAGGAAAGCCAGCAGCCAAGACCUUACUUCCUUCUAUCCUCAUCAGGACUCACUCCCAGGUGGUUACUGCCCUUCAAAAAAAAAAAAAAAAAAACUGCUAGGUGCUGCCCACUCUUUCCCCUUCACGUUCUUGGAGGAUUAGUUUGGAGGCUGGGGCAGUGUGAUGUCAAAGGCGGGGAAAUCAACCCUAAUUCCGUCCUGAGCCCUACUUUUCCUCUGUAAGAUGGAGUGAAACCAUCUGCACACAGUGCACCUGCCGCCAUUCCUCCCUGGACCGUUGCUAAUGCACCACAGCACUUGGUCCACAGUGAGCUUCUGCACGGAUGUGGACGUCUUCUCAACACAGCAGUCGAGGGCAGCUCCAAGCAGAACUGCAGACUAGUAUUCGGCAUUUCCUAAGAAGGCAAGAGUAUGGCUUGGAACGAGUCUCGGUCCUCAGUUCUCUACCCAGGCGGCAUUCCCUGGCGUAGGGGCUCCACUGGGUCAGCCCGGGGCUGCA
rnacentral:lncRNA from 1 species